rnacentral:rRNA from 1 species
UACGGGGGGAGCAAGCGUUGUUCGGAUUUACUGGGCGUAAAGGGCGCGUAGGCGGCCACCGCAAGUCGACUGUGAAAUCUCCGGGCUUAACCCGGAAAGGUCAGCCGAUACUGCGGGGCUAGAGUGCAGAAGGGGCAACUGGAAUUCUCGGUGUAGCGGUGAAAUGCGUAGAUAUCGAGAGGAACACCCGUGGCGAAGGCGGCUCUCUGUAACGCAACUGACGCUGAGACGCGAAAGCGUGGGGAGCAAACAGG